CAAUUUUAAGUAUUUUAUACAUUAAAUUUAGAAUUUAAAGAGGCUUAUGCAGAAUUGA
rnacentral:tRNA from 1 species